GAUGAACGCUGGCGGCGUGCCUAAUACAUGCAAGUCGAGCGAACGGACGAGAAGCUUGCUUCUCUGAUGUUAGCGGCGGACGGGUGAGUAACACGUGGAUAACCUACCUAUAAGACUGGGAUAACUUCGGGAAACCGGAGCUAAUACCGGAUAAUAUUUUGAACCGCAUGGUUCAAAAGUGAAAGACGGUCUUGCUGUCACUUAUAGAUGGAUCCGCGCUGCAUUAGCUAGUUGGUAAGGUAACGGCUUACCAAGGCAACGAUGCAUAGCCGACCUGAGAGGGUGAUCGGCCACACUGGAACUGAGACACGGUGCAGACUCCUACGGGAGGCAGCAGUAGGGAAUCUUCCGCAAUGGGCGAAAGCCUGACGGAGCAACGCCGCGUGAGUGAUGAAGGUCUUCGGAUCGUAAAACUCUGUUAUUAGGGAAGAACAUAUGUGUAAGUAACUGUGCACAUCUUGACGGUACCUAAUCAGAAAGCCACGGCUAACUACGUG
rnacentral:rRNA from 1 species